UACGUAGGGUGCGAGCGUUGUCCGGAAUUACUGGGCGUAAAGAGCUCGUAGGCGGUUUGUCGCGUCUGCUGUGAAAACCCGAGGCUCAACCUCGGGCCUGCAGUGGGUACGGGCAGACUAGAGUGCGGUAGGGGAGAUUGGAAUUCCUGGUGUAGCGGUGGAAUGCGCAGAUAUCAGGAGGAACACCAAUGGCGAAGGCAGAUCUCUGGGCCGUAACUGACGCUGAGGCACGAAAGCGUGGGUAGCAAACAGG
rnacentral:rRNA from 1 species